rnacentral:rRNA from 1 species
GUGUCAGCCGCCGCGGUAAUACGUAGGGGGCAAGCGUUAUCCGGAAUCACUGGGUGUAAAGGGUGCGUAGGCGGUUAUGCAAGUCAGAUGUGAAAUACCGAGGCUCAACUUCGGAACUGCAUUUGAAACUGUGUGACUAGAGUACAGGAGAGGUAAGUGGAAUUCCUAGUGUAGCGGUGAAAUGCGUAGAUAUUAGGAAGAACACCAGUGGCGAAGGCGACUUACUGGACUGAAACUGACGCUGAGGCACGAAAGCGUGGGGAGCAAACAGGAUUAGAUACCCUCGUAGUCC